UACGAAGGGGGCGAGCGUUGUUCGGAUUUACUGGGCGUAAAGGGCGCGCAGGCGGCAGAUCAAGUCAGAUGUGAAAGCCCCGGGCCUAACCUGGGAACUGCAUUUGGGACUGGUUUGCUAGAGAUCGGGAGAGGAGAGUGGAAUUCCCAGUGUAGAGGUGAAAUUCGUAGAUAUCGGGAGGAACACCAGUGGCGAAGGCGGCGAUCUGGGCAGACACUGACGCUGAGGUGCGAAAGCGUGGGGAGCAAACAGG
rnacentral:rRNA from 1 species